GGCAAUGGCCACAGUUGGCCGUCGGCCGUGCUCACCCCUUCUUCAUCCACCUACUCCUCGAGAACUCCACUGGCCUCCCGUGCGUGCACGGUCGAAGGCUGGUGGCCCAGCUCGCCGGCGGGUCGGUGAAACGCCACAACCCCGACGCUUUGCUGAGUUUGGCAUCGACUACAAACCCGCUAUGCAAAAAGAUGAACCAAACCCAAUGUGAUUCACCAUGUAGGCUUUUUUGGUGGAGCAGAAUGACGAAGCUUCUGAGAAUCAGAGGUAGUGUAGUAUAGCUUAGGACUACAGGGCUACCUUGUGGAUACGUUGGCUGUAGAACCAAGUGUACAAACAUGUUUCCUUGUGAUUGUUUUGUUUUGGUUA